AAACCAACAGGGAUUGCCUCAGUAACGGCGAGUGAAGCGGCAACAGCUCAAAUUUGAAAUCUGGCUCCUUCGGGGCCCGAGUUGUAAUUUGCAGAGGAUGCGUCGGGUACGGGUGCCUUCCGAGUUCCCUGGAACGGGACGCCAUAGAGGGUGAGAGCCCCGUCUGGUAGGACACCCAGCCCGUGUGACGCUCCCUCGACGAGUCGAGUAGUUUGGGAAUGCUGCUCUAACGGGAGGUAUACUCCUUCCAAGGCUAAAUACCGGCUGGAGACCGAUAGCGCACAAGUAGAGUGAUCGAAAGAUGAAAAGCACUUUGAAAAGAGAGUCAAACAGCACGUGAAAUUGUUAAAAGGGAAGCGCUCGCUACCAGACUUGGGUUCGGCGGUUCAACCGGGGCCACGCCCCGGGGCAUUCCGCCGGCCCAGGCCAGCAUCAGCUUUCCGUCGGGGGUAAAGGCGUCGGGAAUGUGGCUCCCCUUCGGGGGAGUGUUAUAGCCCGUCGUGUCAUACCCUUCGGGGGGCUGAGGUACGCGCUUCUGCAAGGAUGCUGGCGUAAUGGUAGCUAGUGAC
rnacentral:rRNA from 3 species